AGCAGCCGCGGUAAUUCCAGCUCCAAUAGCGUAUAUUAAAGUUGUUGCAGUUAAAAAGCUCGUAGUUGAAUUUCGGGAUCAGUAGGUUGGUCAUACCUCUGGUAUGUACUGGUCUCACCGAUUCCUCCUUCCUGAUGAACUGUAAUGCCAUUAAUUUGGUGUUGCAGGGAAACUGGACUGCUACUUUGAAAAAAUUAGAGUGUUUAAAGCAAGCUAACGCUUGAAUACAUUAGCAUGGAAUAAUGAAAUAGGACGUUCGAUCCUAUUUUGUUGGUUUCUAGGAUUGACGUAAUGAUUAGUAGGGAUAGUUGGGGGCAUUAGUAUUCAAUUGUCAGAGGUGAAAUUCUUGGAUUUAUUGAAGACUAACUAUUGCGAAAGCAUUUGCCAAGGAUGUUUUCAUUAAUCAAGAACGAAAGUUAGGGGAUCGAAGACGAUCAGAUACCGUCGUAGUCUUAACCAUAAACUAUGCCAACUAGGGAUCGGAUGAUGUUAAUUUUUUAAUGACUCAUUCGGCGCCUUA
rnacentral:rRNA from 1 species